AAUUCUAACCAACAAAACCAUUGUUUCCUUUUCUACUUGAUUUUGAAAGGCAAAUUGCAAAAUUAAUUCAGUUUUUUUUACGCGCUCGCUGUUGGCGGUUGUAUGUACGAUUUGGCUACGAUGAGCGGCCGCGACCUCUCUCCGAUGUAACCCCUGUGAUUGUUAAGUUUUCAUUGUUAUAGUGCAGUGAUCCAGUGAAUAGUGUUCAAUCAUUGAUUUGUGAUUAAAAAUGGCUCGUCUGACGGAGGAGAUGGUGAUCGCUAGAUCGAAACAAUCGGAUCUGUCGUCCAUAAAGAAACUCAACUGCUGGGGCGCGGAGCUGGGCGACGUCAGCCUGCUGCGGCGCAUGCCCAACGUGGAGGUGCUGGCCUUCAGCAUCAACAAGAUCCGCACGCUGGUGGACUUCGCGGGCUGCCGGCGGCUGCGCGAGCUGUACGUGCGCAAGAACGAGAUCCGCGACCUGGCGGAGAUCCGCCACCUGCGCCGCCUGCCCGACCUCACCAGCCUGUGGCUCGACGAGAACCCCUGCACGCUGCACCCCGAGUAUAGAAUGACUGUGUUGAAAAAUCUGCCGAAUCUCGAAAAAUUGGACAAUGUGGUUGUACAUCCUGAAGAAAUACAAGAGGCGAUGAGGAAAGGAGUCCACAUACCAGACUCAGACGACGAAGGCUAUCCACAACAAGUAGGAGUCAUUCGGUCAGUACCGGCGGCAGCGCUCCUGCGAGUCGAGCCCGGAGCGCGAGGAGCCGUGCCGCGCCCCCCCGCACCCGCACCCGCACCCCGCGCACAGGCACGACCAGUGGGCGCAGGGCAGCGACAGCUCGGCGGAGCCCGAGCCUGCAGCGGAGCCCCCGCGCUCGCCGCCGCAACGCCAGGCCGCGUCGCCGGACGCCGACGAGCGCUACGAGCGCUUCGAGCACAGCGCGCCCGCGCCCAUGACCACCUCCCACUACGAGCCCCGCACGCCGCGCUCGCCCGACGCCUCCAUGCGCCACUCGGUGUCGGCGCACAGCGUCAAGGAGUACGCGUACGCGCUCAACGGCGACUGGCGGCACGCGCUGCCCUCCCCGCACCUCGACCCCGAGCGCGCCGACAGGUGAUACCCUCGCACACACACCCGACACGCACGCGCACACGCACUAAGCUCCAACUGCUUGUCCAGGAGCGAGACGUACUCGGUGCGCAGCGACUGGGAGCGCGAGCGAGACCGCGACAGGGACCGAGACAGCGCGCGCGACAGGGACAGAGAGUACCCGUCGGCUGUCAUGGCGGAGCACCGCGGCUUCACGCGCAGGCCCGUCGCGCGGAACUCUAACCUGCUGUCGGCGGUGCUGUGCCUGGUGAAGGAGCUGGACUACCCCAGCCUGGAGGUGGCGGAGAUGGCCGUCAGGUGUCGCAUGGACGAGCUGGCCAACGCGCACUGACGGCACGCCGACGCCGACGCGUGAGCGCGGCCAGCUUUACUGCGACACGUCGCCGCCGCCACUCGCGACACCGACGACAUCAUGCCACUGUGAGCUGUCUCACAAACUUGUACUACAUGUUAGAGCAUUUAUUUUGUGUAACGAAGUACAAGGUUAGAGGAAUAUACGGCUUAUUUACAUGUCAAUGGAAUACAUUUUACAAUGAACUCGUAUUCAGUGUACAACGUAAACUUAGAAGCUUAAACUUUAAUUUAAAACUAAAAUUGAUUAAAAAUUUCAACUGAAUAUAGCGCAAUUUAACGAGGUUGUAAGUUUAGUGGUUGUCAUCAACGUGUCAUACAAGCUUGCAAACAAUAUUACUUACAUGUUGGAAAGUAAAGUGGUAUUUUGUUGAAGGGUGUUUAGAUUCUAUUAAAACAGAUCUAAAGGUUAACGGGAUAAAGACGUUUUUUCAUCAAAGUGCAGUUUGAAAUGAAAUGAAAUGAAAUGAAGUUUAACUCAAGGUGUCAGACGACGUAUCGUUCCAUCCUUGUCACACAAAACUAAUAUUAGCGUGUGCGAACGAGACAGUUGAUGUGAUUAUUGAAUCGAGUGUAUCAAAGUGAAUUUAGCUGGACUCUAAAUUGUUGUUUAUGAUGAAUAUUUGCAUGUUGGCCGCGUUUGGACAAAUGUUGGACGUUGGCGGAGAUGACCGGUGUUAGUUGUAUAUUGUAUAGUAGGUGUAACAGUAACUAAUGUUAACAAUGGCCCCACUAAUUAAGAUUAGACUAUAUUAUAGAAUAAUUGGUGGGGGUGUGUGGCGUCAUCUCCAGUGGCGUACUGUACCUAUAAGUAUAUCCAAUAUUAUUUCUUAUUUAAUUAUAUUUGUAGCAAAAUCAAAAAAUAUAUAUAGAUAUUGUCAUGGAUUUGCAAAUGGAGGAUAUUCCCACACACCCCUACCGAGAGGCUGCCUGACGCUUAAUAAUAUUAUAAAUUGUAUUAAUACUUGUACGUUACGUGAUACUCUGUGUGACAAACAUUUGUUCCAACGCUCGGCCAAUACAAUGUGUAAUGGCGUCCUGCUGGUGCGCUCCGUCGUAGUGAUGCGCGGCGGUCGAUGAUGUUAUCGAGCACUGUACUAGCGCCGGCGCACAGCACUACCUGACUGCUACUGCACAAGUCAAAAGGUAUCACGGGCGUUACAGCGGGGAGGGGGGAGCGAAGCGGCGAUCGGCUCUCUAGACUCAAUGGUGCGCCGUCCGCCGCACGGACAGGACGCCUGCACGCUUGCGCACCUACUGCAGUACCGAUGCGCGACAGUUCCGAUACGCAGCUGCCGUCUCCUCGCUAAACUUACAGCGAAAUGCAUAGACGUUGUAGGGACACCCCCAAGGGAUCAUUCACCCGCUGAGUAUCAAAUUCGGAUAGAAGAUAAAUUCGACACUGAAUGAUCUCUUAGGGGUGCCCCUACAACGUCUAUGCAUUCCACUGUUAUACGCCGAUACUUGUACAAAUGGACAUUUUGCCGACAGACCUGCAUGUGAACAAACCAGCGCUCCGUGAUGUCCAAUUAUAUUUGUAUUAAGGUUUAUUAUAAUUAAUUUUAAAUUUGUUGAUUUGUGUAUUAUAUAUAAAAUUAUUAACACUUAAAUGAUUUUUUUACUUUGUAUCAAUGAAUCUAUUGUUUAUAAUACGUUAAUUAAUUAAAAAUUAUUGUCUAUUGAUUCGUCGGACGUAUGAUGUUAUUUCAAUUUACAAUGUUAUGUUAUUGUUUCACAUUUUCGGAAACUUUGUUAAUAUCUAAACAAAAGACCUGACAACGCUGGCACUGUCACUGUCACUGACACCGACAGUGACACAAUGUCACUGUCAGUGUCACUGUGUGGUCUACGUUUUAAAUGUAUGAUCUAAGCGCAAACUAUAUAGUUCAUCUAGUUCAUUAACUAGUUGAAAACGUUUCUAAAUUGUAUAACUUGAUUAAAUAUUAUUUUCUUGUUUAUUAUCGACCAAUGAUGUUUAAAUGCUUAUUUAGUAGUAAGUGUUUCUAUACAAAUCCAUAUAACAUUAAUAACCAAAUGAAUUCAAUUCAAUAUUGUUAAUCUCAUUUUUCUAAUUUUUUUUACAGUUAUUAUGUGGUAUUUUAAUUAUUGAUUUGGUAUACAUGUAUUAGCGGGAAGCUGGAUCGUUUGCAGUUUACUUGUUUUGAGUUUAUAUGGAAUGAGGCGCUAGCGCGGAACACACACACAGAUGACUGUACUACACAAUAUAUUUGAUGUUGUGUUCUGGCGCAGUCGGUAUUGCUGCUCUCAACGGAGAGGACCUGGGUUCGAUUCCCAGCUCGGAUCAUUUUAGACUUUUAUAAUUUCUAAAUUGGCUCGGGUCUGGUGGCUAGUCACCAACCUACCGGCACACACGUACCGUUAUAUAAUUUGUCGUUCUGGUACGUUGCCGGUUAGAGACCGUCUGUGGUAAAACUUCCCCCUGCACCCGGACCCCGCAAGGUACAUCGCUCCAUAUUCAUACGCUACAAGACUAUAAAUAUAAUAUAAAUGAAGCGAUCUGAAUGUUCCGCAGCGUCACAUGUGAUAUCUAGGCACCGACAAAUUGUUAGUGUUAAAAUAAAUGAAAUUGUAUAAUGUAAUGUAUGAAUUAAUGAAUAAUACGAUUAACUUGCCCUCA